rnacentral:rRNA from 1 species
AUUAGAUACCCUAUUAUUUUAAAUGUAAAUUUAAAAUUCUAAAUUAGUAUUAGUUAUAUUCUUGAAAAUUAAAAAAUUUGGCGGUAUUUUAGUCUUUUCAGAGGAACCUGUCCUGUAAUUGAUAGUCCACGAUUAUAUAAACUUUAUUUAUUAGUUUACAUAUCGUCGUAGUUUGAAUAUUUUAUUAGAAAUUUAAUGUUCAAAAUUUUUUAUUAAAAAAUAAAUCAGAUCAAGGUGUAGUUUAUAAUAAAGGAGAGAUGGGUUACAAUAAAUAUAUUUUGGGAGAUUUUCUUUUAAAGAAAUUUGAAUUUGGAUUUGAGAGUAAUUUUUAAAUAUUUAUUUAAAAUGAUUAUAGCUCUAAAAUAUGCAC